UUUCCCAUACUGGGAUGCAGAGAUUUGGCUAUUUAAAAUAGCUGCACAAUGCUAAUGGGAUAAAGUAAAUCGCCAUGAUCUGAAGAGGGAGGAUUUGUGUCCUCCUUCUAUAUGAAAUGGCUGAACAGAAAAAU
ensembl:snoRNA